AACGCCGCCAUCUUCGCCGGAGAUAAAAAUAAUUGUUGGAACUCGAAAGGUCUGGUCCGUUAUUUUGCAUUAUGCAUACUUAUUCAGUCAUUCUGCUCUCAACAGACUCAAACCCCUCGGAUUCCCAAAAUGCUCACUAAUCAAAGAAAACUGUGAAGAUCGCUGUAAGUUUUCAUUCUUAUUGUUUUCCAUUUUAUUUCUCUAGGGUUUUAAGAUGUUGUAAUUUGACUAAUUUCAUCUGUAAAACUAAAACUAAUGUAUGGGUAUGAAAAAAAUCCAAUGUUAAAUAUUGUUUUCUUUUCUCUUUAUUCUCAACGGGAUCUCUCGUAUUUACCCUGUUUUCUUCUUCAACUAAUCAAUGACGGGUUUUUUAAUUAAAUCCUGCACAAGAUGUUUCUGUGGUUUUGAUGAUCUAUUUGUUGGGGCUCUUCACAUCUUCUUCUUCCUUGUUUGUUUUUUAAAGUUUAAUUUAGCAGGUAGGUUUUGGGCUUGUUUCAGGAUGUGUUUUUGUGUUAUCGUUACUCAUUUGAUAGUUCUGGUAUGUCUGUAUGGUUUGAGAAGGUCCUUAUUCAGAUUCUGUCAGUAUUCUUUUGAAAACCCAAUUUUUUCUGAUCAAGAUGUUUUAGUUGCAUCUUUUUUUGUGGCUUAUGUGAUUGUGGAGACUCCAUUAGUUAAUAUUUAAUGUAUUUCUUAUUUAUUCUUUUUUACCUGUAUCAAUCAUUAUUAUCUAACACAUACUAUUUUGUUGCUAUUUAAUAGGACAACUUGAGCAGCUUAAAGCCUUAAGCAAUCUGGAAAAAAGCCAAACAUCCAUAUACAAUACCAAAGUACACAAUUCCCUAACUUUACUUUACUGAUUACUUAAUAGUUAAUAUACUUGCAAAAGUGUGUAAUAAUAAAAAAAAAGCCUUGCUAUAUUGUCUUAUAAGUUGGUAUGUUGUCAUUGAAUGUUAUUUAGAAGCAACGGAUAAGAACUUAGUGUCCCAUGACAUGACUUAUUAGUGAGCUAUUGUAGUUUUAAACUUCUCCAUGUUAGGACAUUGUAGUUUUUAUAUUUUUUCCUAUUGCGCUUUAAAAAUCUAACCAAUUAUAGCAUUGUAUUCUUAAAACUUAUCCUAUAAUGACAAUGUACUUUUUGUUACAUGUUUAAGAUAUUGUACUUUGAAAAUCUUAACUUGUUUGAUUUUGGAUAAAAGUUAUAGCAUUAUAUUUUCAAAUUUUCUUCCUAUUAAGACAUUGGUUUCUAGAUGUUAACUUUCCCUAUUAAGACAUUGCACUUUGAUAAUUUAGCCAAUUAUUAUAUCGUACUCUUAAAACCUAACCUUUUUGUUUUUCCUAUUUAAGACAUUGUACUUGAAAAAUCUAAAUUUGUUUGAUUUGGUUACAAGUUAUAGCAUUAUAUUUUCAUUUAUGCUCCUAUUAAGACAUUGAACUUUUUACUUAUUUUCUAUUAAGACAUUGCCCAUCGAUAAUUUAACCAAUUAUAACAUCAUACUUUAAAAGUCUAAUCUGUUAAGAUGCACCCUCAAUUGUUUUUUCUAUUAAGAUAUUGUAUUUUGAUUAAGACAUUUACUACUCAUUUAAAAAAUCUAACCUAGUAAGUCAUUGUAUUUUGAAAAGCUAAACUUGUAUGAUUUGUUUUUACCAAUUAUAGCUAAACUUGUACCUUUUUCCUACUAAGAUGUACUUUAAUAUCUAACCAGUUAUAACAUUACCCUUUUAAAAUCUAUCAAGACAUUGCCCAUCAAUAAUUCGUCACUUUUUUCAGGUGAGAAUCUCUCAUGUUGAUGAACUUCUUAUAUGGUUCAGACUUCACAGCUUCUAAAAGGUCAAAAUAGUCAAUCUGGAAUUGUACUCAGUUACAAGCGUUGGUUUCUAGAGACUAGGCUAGUGUAUUGUUUGACAAAAGGGUCAGCUGUGCCUUUAAUGUCUGAAAUUGUCAAAGGGAGAUAUUCAAUCAGUUAAGAUGUUAACUUUCUCUCUCUUCAUAAAGUGUAGUCUGUUGCAAGAGUUUGUGAAUAAGAGAGAUUCUCACCCCUAGAAAGUGAUAAAUCAUUCAACAAGUUUUCUAAUAUAAGCUCUCUUUCUAUCUUGAUUUUCAUCAAAUUUGUAUCAUUUGCUUUUAUUUUUUACAACUUUUCUAAUAUAAAGCAGAUUGAAAAUCUAAACGCUUAUGACUUAGUUCUUUUAUAAUCUAACCUAUUUAGAUAUUUUUCUAUUAUUCUUUAUUUCUUUUAAGAUUUUGUAUUUUGGAAAAUUAAACUUGUUUGUUUUAGUUACAACUUGCUACAUUAUACUUUCUUUUAAUAAAGUACUUUUAAAAUCUGACCUAUUGAAACAUAUUUCUCUUAUUUUCUUAAUAAGAAGACAUUGUACUUUGAAAAUCGAAACUAGUUUGAUUUUGGUUACCUUUUGUAUCAUUAUACUUUGACCUUUCUUUCCUGUUACUAUUUUUUUUUAAUAAAUAGACAAAUAUAUUUGGUAAAUAUAAAGUAAUUAUAGCAUUCUGAUUUCAUAUUUAGCAUUAUUUUUUCAAUAUAAAACCUAGUAAGACAUUCUACUUUUAGUUUUUUUUUUUCUCCUAUUAAGACAUCUCAUUUUGAAAAUUCAACAUAGUAAGACUUUGUUUUUUAAAAAAUCUAAAAUUUGAUUUUGGCUAACUUCUUAUAUGGUUAAGACUUCACAGCUUAUAGAAGGUUAAAAUAGUCAAUCAGGUAAGAUAUUAAUUCUCUCUUCCGGAAGUGUAGUCUCUUACAAGGGUUGGUUUCUAAAGGCUAAGCUAAUGUAUAAAUAUAGGGAUCAAAUAGUGUUUAUAAUGUGAAAAUGUCAAUGGGAGAGAUUAUAGAAGGUCAAAAUAGUCAAUCAGUUAAGAUGUUAAUUUUUUUCUCUCUUUAGAAAGUGUAUAGUCUGUUACAAGAGUUAGUUUUUUUGUUGCAUGAAUAGAACAUCUAGAGCUUGUAUUUGGAAAUACAAUGAAGGGUUCAAUCUGUGAACUUACUAAAUAUAAAAAUCAACAUGUAAAGGUGAUUGUGUUAGCUUUACUUGGCUAAACACUUUUUGCUCCAUCUUAUAUAAGUUUUAAAGAUUGUAAAGUAUGUAGCAUAACUAAUCUUUAUUUAUCCUUUUCUACCUCUAUCAAUCAUUAUCAUCUCACACAUACUAUUUUGUUGACUUAAUAUUAAUACUUGAAAAAUUGUUUAAUAAUAAAAAAGCCUUGCUAUAAGUUGGUAUGUUGUCAUUUUUUACAAGUUUAAGAUAUUGUACUUUGAAAAGCUAAACUUGUUUGAUUUUGGAUCAAAGUUACAACAUUAUACUCUCAAUUUUUUUCCUAUUAAGACAUUGAACUUCUAACUUUUUCCCUAUUAAGUCAUUGCACUUUGAUGAUUUAGCCAAUUGUUAUACCAUACUUUUAAAAGCUAACCUUUUUUUUUUUUUUUUUUUUUUUUUUUUUUUUUUUUUUUUNUUUUUUUUUUUUUUUUUUUUUUCUAUUUAAGACAUUGUAUUUGGAAAAUCUAAAUUUGUAUGAUUUGGUUACUAGCUAUAGCAUUAUAUUUUCAUUUCUCCUCCUAUUAAGACAUUGAACUUUUUGCUUAUUUUCUAUUAAGACAUUUCCCAUCGAUAAUUUAACCAAUUAUAACAUCAUACUUUAAAAAUCAUAUCUUUAUAGAUGCCACUCUCAUUUUUUUUCCUUUUAAGAUAUUGUAUUUUGUUUAAAACAAUGACUAUUCAUUUAAAAAAUCUAACCUAGUAAGACAUUGUAUUUUGAAAAGCUAAACUUGUUUGAUUUUCUUUUACCAAUUAUAGCAUCACACUUUCAACUUUAUCCAUUUAGACUUUGUACCUUUUUGCCUACUAAGACAUACUUCAAUAUCUAACCAGUUAUAACAUUACCCUUUUAACAUCUAACCAAUUAAGGCGUUGUACUUUUUUGAAAUUUUACUAUUAAGACAUUUAUAGAAUCAUACUUUUAAUUUUUACCACUCUUAAUUAUAGCUUCAUAUUUUUCAGUAAUUGAUCGAGUACGAAUUUGCAAAAUUAUUGUUCCUUAAAUAUUUGUAUCUUGAAAAUCUAUAUAUUUUUUAUUUUUGUUAUCAACUAUUACAUAAUAAUUCCCACUAUUUUUACCUAUCAAGACUUUGUACUUAGAAAUUCUAAGCACAUUAUACUAUACUUUCACAAUCUAACCUAUUUUUACCUUUUAUUAUUAAUUUUUUCUUAUUGUGCUUUGAAAAUGUAAAUGUGUUGGAUAUUUGCUACCAUUUGUAGCACUAUACUUUCAUUUGAGACAUUGUACUAUUUUUCUCUUAUUUUUUCUUAUUAAAACAUUGUAAUUUGAAAAUGUAAAAAUGAUUUUUGUAAUCACUUGUAAAAUCGUACUUCCAUUUUUUUUUUCUUGUACUUGAAAAAUCUAAGUAGACAUUAUACUUUUAUAUCUUUUUUAUUAACACAUUGCAAUUUGAAACUCUAACCUAUUAAAACGUAUUUUGAAAUAUAAACCUGUUUUGAUUUGGUUGACAUUUAUAAGAUUAUAUUUUCAAAAUGUAUUUUAACUUCAUUUUUUCUUAUUAAUACAGUGCACUUGUAAAAGAUUCUACCUAGCAACGUUUUACCUUGAAAAUCUAAACAAUUUACACAUAGACACUUUACUUUGAAAAUCUGAACAAUUUUAAUUUAGUACUUUUAAAAUCUGACCUAUGAAGAUAUUUUUCUCUUUUUUCUUAUUAAGGCAUUGUACUUUAAAAUUCGUAACAUCAUACUUCUAUAUUUUCAUUCCUAUUACUAAUUUAUACCAUUAUUAUCGUAUUUUGAAAAUCCAACGUAUUAAGACUUUGUAUUUUGAAAAUCUAAACUUGGUUGAUUUUGGUUAACAUUUGUAGCUCUUUAUUAUGAAAAUCUUACAUAUUUUAACGUUGUACUGUUAAACUUUUUUUUCUUAUGAAUAUAUUACUUUUUAAAAACAGUGUAGCUAACAUUUUUUUUCUUGAUAUGAACUUCUUAUAUGGUUCUAAAAGGUCAAAAUAGUCAAUCAGGAAUUGUAGUCAGUUACAAGAGACUAGGCUAGUGUAUUCUUAACCCUUAAUGUGUGAAAUUGUGAAUGGGAGAUAUUCAAGAUGCUGAAAACAGUCAAAUCAGUUAAGAUGUUGACUUUCUCACUUCAUAAAGUGUAGUUUGUUAUAAGAGUUAGUUUAUAAAGGCUAUGCUAAUUAGUAUAAUUAAAGGAGAGAUUCUAGAAAGUCAAAGUAGUCAAUCAGUACUAAUGUAUAAAUAAAGUGGUGGAUUUUGUGUUUAUUGUCAGUGGGAGAGAUUCUAGAAGGUCAAAAUAGUCAAUCAAUUAAGAUGUAUAUAACCUAUUAAGACUAUAUGCUAUUUUUCUCUUAUUUUUUUUUUCUUACAGAGGCCAAUUCGAAAAUCUAAAAUGUUUGAUCUUGGUUACCACUUGUAAAUUUAUACUUUAAAUUUUCUUUUCAAGAUCUAAACAGUUUUAAUAUAGUACUUUAAAAAUCUGACCUAUAGAAACUAGUUUGAUUUUGGUUACUCUUUGUAUCAUUAUACUUUGACCUUUCUUUCCUGUUAAUAUAUUUUUUUUAAUAAAUAGACACAUAUCUUUGGUAAAUAUAAAGUAAUGAUAGUAUUCUGAUUUCAUAAUUAUCAUUAUUUUUUCAAUAUGAAACCUAGCAAGACAUUUUGCUUUUAGUUUUUUUUUCUCCUAUAAAGACAUGUCAUUUUAAAAAGUCAACAUAAUAAGAUGUUAAACUUUUUUUUCUCUUAAGAUGUCAAUGGGAGAGAUUGUAGAAUGUCAAAAUAGUCAAUCAGUUAAGAUGUUAACUUUUUUUUUUCUCUUUAGGAAGUGUAUAGUCUGUUACAAGAGUUAGUUUUCAGAGACUAGGCUAGAGUAAAGUAAGUAAAAGGAUCAGGUAUGUAAGUAAAGGGGUCAGGUGUGUAAUUAGUGUGUGAAACUUUAAAUGCGAUAAAGUCUAGAAGGUCAAAAUAGUCAACCAGUUAAGAUGUUAACUUUUUGCUCUUCAGGAAGUGUAGUUUGUUACAUGAGUUAGUUUGUAGUCUAGUGUAUUAUGUAUAAGUGAAGGGGUCUUGUAGUAUUAGAGAUUGUGUGUUUAGUGUGUGAAACUCUCAAAAGGAAGAGAUUCUAGGAGGUCAAAAUAGUCAAUCAGUAUCAAUAUAUAAAUAAAGGGAUAAGAUGGUAUUAGGGUUGUCUUCUUUCUAUCUUGUUUCCUAUCAAAUAUGUAUCAUAUACUUUUUUUUUCUUUACUUUCUCAUGUAUACACAUUGAAAAUCUAAACACUAAUGAGUAGUUUUAAAAUCCAACCUAUUAAGAUAUUUUUCUAUUAUUCUUUUUCCCAGUAAGACUUUGGAAUCUCAAAAUCUAAACUUGUUUGGUUUUAUUUGACUUAACAGUAAUUUUGUUUUUCAAAAUUUAACAUUUUUAAAUAUUGCACUUUGAAAAACUAAACAUGUUUGAUUGUGGUAACUAUCUAUAACAUGUUUUUUUCUAAGACAAUGUAUAUUUUUUUUUCUAUCUAAGAUAUUGUAUAACUUGUUUUUCGUUAUAACUUUUUAACUUCCAAAUCUAACAUAUUAAAACAUUAUGUACAACAUUAUGAUUUUGACGUCAAACCUAUUAUUUUUAAUGUUGUACUUUAGCCUCCUACUUUUAACUAAUUUUCCUAUAGCAAUGUAAUUUUAAGUUCUAAUAUAUUAACACAUUGCAUUUUGUAAAUUUAAUAUUUUAAGACAUUGUAUCUUUAGUAUUUUUUUUCCAAUAAACACAUUCUAGUUUGAAAAUCUACCAAUUCUAGCAUUAUAUCUUCAUUUUUUUUCCUUUUAAGACAUAUUAUUUUGAAGAUCUAACCAAUUCCAGCUUUUUACUCUUUAUUACGACAUUAUAUACAUUAUCUACCUAACAUAUUGACAUUGUACUUCUAAUACCUUUUUAGGGCAUUUCACUUUGAAAAUGUAAUCUUGUUAUAUUUUAGUUACUGCUUAUAGGUUUUACUUUCAUUUUAUUCCUAUAAGAGAUUUUUGAUAUUUCAUAUUUGGACAUUGUAGUUUUAUUAUCUAACCGGUUAUGGGAAUUUUAAUUUCAUUUAUUUCAUUAAACAUUCCCUAUCAAAUCUACUUUUAGUUUUUGCAUUUUGAAAAUACACACUUGUUUUAAAAAUAAAAUACUUUGAGUCCAAUUUUAACAUCAUACUUUCAAAGUCCAAUCUUUCAAGACAUUUUAUCUAAUUAUCUUUUGAGUCAUACAUAUAGCACUUCAAAAUUUAUCUCAUUUAUGUCGCUACAUUUAAUUAAUUUAUUUUUCUAUUAUAACAUUGUAUAAUUUAUAAUUAAAUUUUUACCAACUACAACAUUAUAACUAUUUUCAAAAUCCAACAUAUUUAAUAUAUUUUCUUUCUCUUCACCAAGUGUAGUUUAUUAUUACAGGAGUUGGAAUCUAGAGAUUCUGUGUUUAGUGUGUGAAACUGUCAAUGGGAGAGAUUCUAGAAGGUCAAAGUAGUCAAUCAGUACUAAUGUAUAAAUAAAUUAAAGGGAUAAGAUAUUAUUUGGGAUUGUGUGUUUACUCUUGUGAAAUUGUCAAUGGGACAGAUUCUAGAAGGUCAAAAUUGUCAGUCAAUUAAGAUGUUAACUUUCUUUCAUCAGGAAGUAUUGUAUUUUACAAAAAAUGGUUUUUAGAUAAAUGAAGUGGUCAAUUAGUUUUAGGGAUUUUGUGUUUGGUAUGUGGAAAAUAUCAAUGGAGGAGAUUCUAGAAGGUCAAAAUAGUCAUUAAUAUAAUAAAUAGAUGUAAGACCUGUAAUAACUAGUUUAUGCUUAUGUUUUUGUAUCAAUGUUAACAUCCGAGGUUUUAAUAUUAAAAUGUUUGACUGAUUUAUAUUUAAAUAAAAUGUUUUGGGACAAAUUAUGCAUUAUAUAUUCUAUAAAAGGAUACUCUUAACUAAAUAAACAUAAAAAAUGUUAUUUGGCUCCUGUUGUUAGGCUGGAAUCCGUUAGAAUCUUUCUCGCCUAUGCUGCACACAAAAACUUUGAAGUCUACCAAAUGAACGUCAAGUGUGCAUGGUGAACUCGAAGAAACAGUGUACGUGGAGCAACCUCCUGGAUUCGUAAAUGAAAGGUAUCCUAAUCACUGUUACAUUUUGGACAAAGCAGUGUAUGGACUGAAACAAGCUCCGAGAGCCUGGUAUGAAACGCUGAAAAACUUUUUAAAGAUGUCUAAAUUCAAACAAGGUUCGGUUGACCCAACCUUCUUUCGUAAGAAGGAAGGUAACCACCUUAUGAUUGUUCAAAUUUACGUUGAUGAUAUCAUCUUUGGCUCUACGAAUCCCAGCUUAACGGCUGAAUUCAGAAAGCUGAUGGAGACUAAAUUUGAAAUGAGCUCAAUGGGUCCAAUUAACUUUUUCCUUGGUUUAAAUAUUAGACAAGGACCCGAAGGCAUCUUUAUUAAUCAGGAAGCUUACACGAAGACUCUCCUUGCAAAAUUUGGCAUGAUGGGAGAUUCAAAGGUCAAAGUUCCAAUGGCGUUCGGCACCAAGCUCACUCCAUCCUUGGAUAAACCGGCAGUUGAUAUUACGCUCUAUCGCCAGAUGAUUGGUUCACUGAUGUAUCUUACUGCUAGCAGGCCUGACAUAAUGUUCUCUGUUUGUUAUUGUGCUAGAUUUCAGGCAAACCCACGCGAACCUCACAUGCUUGCAGUGAAGAACAUUCUACGAUAUCUCAAGCGAACUACCUCUUUAGGUCUAUGGUAUCCAUCCAACUCGGGCUUCUUCGUUCAGGCCUACUCAGAUGCAGACCUUGGAGGUUGUGGACUAGACAGGAAAAGCACCACUGGAGGCUGCCAAUUCCUUGACGGGAAGUUGGUUAGCUGGCAAUCAAAGAAACAAACUUGUGUGUCUUUGUCUACAGCUGAAGCAGAAUACAUUGCAGCUGCAUCCUGUACUUCUCAAGUGAUUUGGAUCCAGAGUCAACUCAGAGACUAUGGACUCAAUAUGAAAAAGAUCCCACUAUAUUGUGACUCUGAAAGUGCAAUUAGGAUCUGUCAUAACCCAGUGCAACACUCCAAGACUAAGCACAUAGCACUGAGGUAUCACUUCAUUAAAGAUCAUGUGGAAGAUGGAAACGUUGAAAUUCACUUUGUUAGAACCACUGAUCAACUGGCUGAUGUCUUCACCAAAGCCCUUCCUGAAGCGUCGUUCAACAAAAUUCUACAAGGGCUAGGUAUGAUGGAAUCAGAGUCAGUACCACAAACUACCUCUCAAACUCAAACGUAAGAAGCGAAAUAGACCGAACGUUCGGGUUCGGUUGGAUCAUCUGCAUUCGCUCAUCAAUUAAGGGUAGUUUUCUUGGUUGUAAAUUUCCUGUACAAUUAUUUUACAAAAUUGUUUAUCUUAUUGUCAAAAGUAUUUCCUUUUUGAAAGUCUAAAUUUUUCAAAACCGAAACCAACCGAACGCUCGGGUUCGGUUUUUCAAAAUUUUUCAAAACCGAAACCAACCGAACGCUCGGGUUCGGUUUUUCAAAAUUUUUCAAAACCGAAACCAACCGAACGCUCGGGUUCGGUUUUUCAAAAUUUUUCACAACCGAAAUCAACCGAACGCUCGGGUUCGGUUCCAAAGUUUUUUUUAAUCUUUUUAUUUUCUUCCAAAGUAGGUUUGAACAAGUAGGUUCGAUAAGUUGCUUCAGAUGAUCUACCUUGUUGUCAGCUGCGUUGGCUUCUGAGAGAGAUGCCUUCUCUGGUUCAUCAAAUAAUUCGACGAACUUCUCAAAGAGGUUUGCGAUUGAGGCUGUGACUUGGCCAGUUUGGGGAAAAAUUUCUCCAGCUGUGUCUUCAUUGGCCUUUAGCUUUUUGACAUAGCUAUCAUCAAAAGUCACGUAAUAAGUUUCUUCUAUUUUCCUCGAGCGCUUGUUUAAGACCCUGUACGUUUUAGAAGUUAGAGAAUAGCCCAGAAAUAUCCCCUCGUUGGCUUUGACAUCAAACUUGUUGCGGUGUUCUUUGGAAUUGAAGAUGAAACACCGUGAACCGAACACAUGGAAAAACAUGACAUUUGGCUUCCUGUUGUUGAUGAUCUCAUAAGGAGUGAGAGUGAAGCGCUUAUUGAGAUAUGACCUGUUCUGUGUAAAACAAGCAGCAGAAAUAGCAUCAGCCCAAAAAUAUAAAGGUAAGGAAGCGAAACUUAGCAUGGUUCGGGCAACUUCACACAAAGAACGGUUUCGUCUUUCGACAAUUCUGUUUUGUUGGGGAGUGUAGGGAGCUGAGAAGUUAUGACUGGUUCCCUUUUCGGCCAAAAAUUCUUCGAAUUCUUUAUUUUUGAACUCCAGCCCAUUAUCGCUUCUUAUGUUGCGAACGACUUUCUUCAGCUGUACUUCAAUCUGCUUAAUGAACGUCUUCAGUUUGAGAGUCGCUUCAGAUUUUUGCUUCAGAAAGAACACCCAUGUAAAACGCGAAAAGUCAUCAACAAUAACAAGAAUGUACUUGCUACCACCGAUACUUUCGAUAGAUGAUGGACCACACAAAUCAAUAUGAAGUAAUUCUAGUGGUUCAACAACUUUAGUGUUUAUUAUAGAUGGAUGACUUUGACGACUCUGCUUCCCCAUUUCACAUGCAGCACACAAAUGUUCUCUAUCGUACUUGAGCAAUGGAAGACCUCGAACAUGACCUCCAGUGACAAGUUUGUUGAUAUCCUUAAAGUUGAUAUGAGAGAGCCUUCGGUGCCACAACCAGCUUUCGUCAGAUUGUGCUUUGGAUAACAGGCAGAUAGUUGGGUUCCCUUUGAUAGGUUUGAGGUUCAGGGGAAACAUCUCACCUUUACGCUCUGAUUUGAGAAUAACUCUUUUCGUCUUCUUCUCAAUUAUUUCAGAACCCUCAUCGUCGAAUGAAACUUUGAGACCGGUACCUCCAACAAGCUGAGAUACACUGAUGAGGUUAUGUUGUAGUCCUUCCACGUAUAAAACCUUCCUAAUCGUGAAAUCACCGUUUGUAAUCAUUCCAUAGCCUUUUAUGGUGCCGAAGGAGUUGUUCCCGAAUUUGACGUUUCCACCAUUUGAAAGAGACCUGUAUUCCCUUAGCUCUUCCUUCCUUCCUGUCAUGUGACGCGAGCAGCCACUGUCAAUGUACCAUUCUUUGUCAAACUGCUCGUCACUGAUAACCUGCAAAAAUUAAGCAGAUUUAGGAACCCAAAGUUUCUUGGGUCCUCGUGAGCCUUUCACAGGAACAGGAAUAGUAAGAGAGAUGUCAACAAGAUAUGUUCUUUUUAUUAGUGUUGUUUCAUCUUUCUUUUUGAUGGUGAAAACUUUAAUUUUAUUGGGAUUCGUUGCUUUUGGUUUGGACUCUGGUUUAACUGAUGAAACCUUCGAUUUUCCUUUCGGUUCAGUUGAUGAUUGAGGUUUUUGAGAGUGAACAGAAUGGAAUUUAGAACAGGGUUGAGAGGAAUUAGAAGAAUUCGAAGAAUUAGAGGAGUUAGAAUGAGAGAACUUAGACUGAGAUGUCUUCUUGACUUGAGAUUCAAGGUGACCCUUUUGCUUUUGAUCAUUAGUGGGACCGAAUCUAGAAUUUUGGUCUCUUUUGUUCUCUGAACCGAACCUUUGCUUUCGGUUGAUGUUGUUCUCCGAACCGAACCUCUGCUUUCGGUUGGAGUCAUUCUCUGAACCGAAUAUUUGCUUUCGGUUGAUGUUUUUCUCUGAACCGAACCUCUGCUUUCGGUUGUUAUUGCUCUCUUGUGAUUUAACAGAACUUUUCUCUGACUUUAAGUUCCUAUCAUUAUGUGAGAAAUAGUCAUUUUGAGAUUGCCAAAACUGUUUUCUUUCAGAGAGAUUCUUCUUGUAUCUCUGAUUCCUUUGCUGUUUUUGAUUUCUCAUCUGCUUCGGUUGAUGAUGGAUAUUGGCUUCUAGUUUCGGUUUUCCUUUAGCUGGUUCACUCUAAACUGAUGAAGUUUCACUUGAAGGAGUGACUUCUUUUGCAGGAAUUCCUUUUUCUUGAGGAACAUCUUUUGUACCACUAGUGCUUGGCACAUCGAAGCUAUCAGGUUUAUUCAAAGGUUCUGGCACAUAUCUGUCUUUGCUUUUCCAUGAAGUCCUUUCAGACAAACCUACCGUUUCGUCAGCAUUGUCGAUGGGGGCAGACCAGAAGAACUCGUCGCAACCAUCAGCAUUGUCUUCGUUUACAAUGGCUGUGAGUUCAGCAGUCUGAUGUUCGGUUACGCCGGUGACCUUAUACACCUGAUUUGGAGUGGUUCUAACUUUUUGAUAUACAACUGCCUUCUCUGCAAGGAUCGGGGACUUUUGUUGGGACAAACGAGCAAACUCCACUGAAUUUUCUGAGAUGAGAUUCUUGUGGUUUUCGGGUUCACUCUUGACAAAUUUUGAGCAAUUAACUGUGUCCUCUACAUAAAUUUCACUCAUAUUGUCGUCCUCAUUAAGCUCAGAUGCAUUUUCAACAUCAAUUUUAUUUUCUGAGCUCAAGUUGGCGUUUAAUGAGUCAAAUUUUUGUAUGGUUUCGGUCCUCAGUUUCAGUUUAUCAUUUUCAUCCAAAAGGUUUUUAAGCAUGUCCUUAUGGUCCUUGGACUUUAUGAAAGAUUCGAUUUUGUCUAGUCCAUACAUAUACGUCGGAUUAACAUCCUCAGACGAAAUAACACUUUCACAAUUAUACGCUUCAGCAUCAAUUUCAUCCUCCUUAAACUCAAGGAAGGGUAAAAUCAUGCGAUGAAUCUUUUGUCCUAUUUCAUAGUCCAAAUGAAGCUGAGUGAUAUUAGUAUAAAGACGUUUAACAAUCAAACAAAAAACAUUUCUCUGUUUUAAAAGCUUUAAAUUGUCUCUUUGCAAAUAAAUGUUUUCAUCUUUGGUUUUGAUUAACUCCGACUCCUUCAGUUCGAUCCACAUUCUCCGUUCCUCACUCUUCGAAGACACCCUGCUUAUUUGGUCAGUUAGGUUAGAAUUGGUGACUCGAGUUUGAGUUAAACUACUGUCUAGAUGAGAGAUUCUUGAAUUAACACUUUUUAAUUCCUUUUCGUAUGAGCAUUGUGGAACUUUGAAUGAAACAAAAACGGAUUGUACCUUCUUGAUCAGUUCAUCAAGCUCAUUGAACUGCACGCUGAGCGGUUUAGCUGUAAAACACAAAUUCUGUUGCUCCUUCGUGUCUUCACUCCCACCAUUCGUGUUGUAUCCCCUCAUCUGAGAUACGUCGGACACCAUCAAGCAUUUUCCACCACUGCUCUCUUCUUUCGCCACAUAAGCCUUUCCAUGAGAAGGCUUCCUUACUUCAUCAUCUUCAGAGUCGGUUGACCAGACCUCCACGCCACCGAACUCAUCAUCCGCUACCGAACCCUGCACAAUUAAAGCAUUCAUAGAAGGGUUAGCAGUAGAUUUCUUCUUCCUGAUUUCAUCCAGCUUUUUCUGCAACAAAGCUUCUUCAUCCUUUUCAUCAUCCUUUUCUGCCAUUUUCUUGAGGACGCAGUCUUUUGCAUAGUGAUUCUUUCCUCCACAGUAAUAGCAGCUCACUCCCGAAUCUCCUUCAACCUUCAGUUCAUCUUUGACCUUUUUAGAACUAUAACUCCCCUGCCAAUUUCGGUUUUUGUUGGUGGGGAAUCUCUUCUUGAUGAACCUCUUGGGGUUUGACACCAUCAUAGCAUAGUCCUCGGAAGUGAGGUCAUAGUCCUCCAAGUUGAGGUCUUCUUCUUCCAUCACCGCUUUGCUUUUGGACAGAAGGGCCAACGAACCCAAGCUUGAGACCACAUUUUUCUCCUGUAACACGAUCUUUUCUUGAGAUUUCAGGAUGCCCACCAGUUUCGCCAAAGAAUAGGAUUUGAAUUGUUCAUGCGCUUUAAUUGUGGACAUUACUGCUCUCCACUCAGAUCUGAGGCCAUUCAAAAAUGUAACCUUCUGCUCAAUUAGCUUCCUUUCAAUGUCAUGUUUAAUCAUCUUGCUAAGAAGAUGAUUGAAGCGAUCGAACGUUAGAGUCACGGUCUCUUCGGCCCCCUGCUUGAAUUCACCAAACUCAGACAAGAGUAAGGUUUGAAUGGAGUGUUCAAGAUCUUCGUCCGUAGAAUACAAUUCUCGUAGCCUGUCCCAUAUUUCUUUUGCAGUCGUGCAUGAACUCACCAGCCUGAAAGUAUCGGAUUGAAGAGCGAAUCUGAUUAAUCUCAAUGCUUUGAUAUUGCACUGAAAUUUAUCUUUUUCGUCUUGAGCAAUAUCUUUAACGUCUUUCAAAAGAUCAUUAUACUCCUUCUGAGUUUUAAUAAUCCUUGAAGUUGCUGAAUGAGAAAAGGGUCCAGAUACGAUUGCUUCCCAGAUGAGGUAUCCAUUGUCCUCAGAUCCUAUAACAUAGUCUUCAAAGUGAUGUGCCCAGACUUCAUAAUCAUGGGUGUAAAGGAUGGGAAUCUUCGUUGUUGAUCCAAUGUUGUUCGAAAUAUUAAUGGGAUUGGAUUGCGACUCGUCCAUGCUUGAUCGAAUAACCUGUUAAAAGAUCAGACUUGUAAUGUAUUAAAUUAGGGCAAAACAAUAAAUAUCGAGUUACGUCAAUUAUGGGAUGACGGCUCAAUAAAUAUCAGUAAAUGCGGAAUAACCCUAAUCGAAACCUUUUUCACAGAAAAGAAGUGUAUGAUUUACACAGCCUCCUGCUCUAAUACCAAUUGAUAAGUUAAAAACUAACUUGAAGAUCGAUUAGAUCUUUAAAACAGGUAAAAUAAUAAACGAGUAAAUAGCAAGAACACAAGAAUGGAUCAAAGUGUGUUGAAUGAUUAAUCAACAAUCCUCAGCAGAGCUCGAUAAAGAAUUUCUACUGUAGAGGAUUUAGGGUUUACAAGAACGAUGAAUAAAUAAUCUAUGAUCUAUCGUAAUCGCUAUCAAUCGUUAACCUAAUAUGCAUGCAAGCAUAUAUAUUUAUAUUAAACCCUAUCAGCUCUCGGUUGGACAUGCCCAAACCGGAGUAACAAAACUUGGACUAUUAACCGAGCCCAAUGGACGCAAUACAUCAAAAACGCUACGCUAUGCUACCCAACAGUUUUUGGAACAAACUAUUUUAGUUUCUUUAAGUUGCCAAGAAAUAAUUUUGUUAAACUUUAUUUUUGAUGGUUUUUACCUUUUAGACUUGGUAAAAGAUUUUAUAAUUGUUUUUUCUUUAGAAAUUUCUCAAAAAAUAGUUAUUGAUUUUUUCAUUAUUUUUUUUUACAAAUCGAAAUUUUAAGACUUUUUGACAACUUUUUUUUAAAACAUUUUACAAAAGAAAAAUUACAACUUUUCAUAAAACCUUUGGGAUUUUUAACACUUUUUAUAACUUUUUUUUGCAAUAUAUUUAACUUUUUUUUAAAACAUUAUUUAGAACCUUAUAGGCUUUUUAAAAUGAUUUUUUUAUAAUAUUUUAAGCUUUUUUUUAGAAUAAUUUAAAAAACUUUUACAACUAACACAAGAAAUAGAUCAAAACUCAUACAACCAAUCAAAAAAAAAAGAUCUAAAUACAUAAAAAUCAAUUUUGUUAUUCGAUUCAUUACAAAUCGAGUAUAGAAAGAGAACCAAUUUUGGGAUGAUUCGAUAUUAGAAAUUUCUAAAAAAACAUUUGUCAAAAAUUGUAAAAAAGUUUAAAAUAUUAAAAAAAAUUGAUUUAAAAAGUGUAAAAAAUUUGUAAUUUAAAAAAAAAGUUGUUCAAGAGUUGAUUUUUCUUAGAAAAAGUUCAAGACAUGAAAGUUAAUUUGUAACGAAACUCAUACAACCAGCCAUGAUAAAUAGGUUUAAACACAUAAAAACCAACUUUGUUAUUCGAUUCAUUUUAGAUCGAAAAUAGAAAGUGAAAACCAAUUUUGCGUUGAGUAGUAAAACACGUUUGUCAAAAAAUUGUAAGAAAAGUUUAACAUGUUGCAACAAAAAGUUGUAAAAAGUGUAAAAUUUUAGUAAAUUUUUUUAAAAAGUUGUUUAAAAGUUUUGAUUUUUCUUAAAUAAAGUUCAAAAGAAUUAAAAAGGUUAAUUUGUAAAGAAAACCCAUUGGAUGAUUUUUUUCUAAAAAAGAUUAAAAAAUUUUGACAAAAAUCAUAAUAAAAUUUGAAAUUAAGGUAAAAAGUGUACAAUUAUGAAAUGAUGUGAUUUAUCUUGUAUAAAAAACAAAACAAAUGUUUGUUUCCAUUUUAUAUAGUAAAAUUGGUUUAGUUAAUGUAUUUUUAAGUAGUGUAUUUCCUUAAAUAUUAUAUUUUUUAUUUUUAAAUUUAUAAUUAUGUUUAAAAAUAUAAUGAUGAUGAUGUGGAAAUCCAUUAAACUGUGUAGGGUUUAAUGGAGUUUGAAUGUUAAAAAAUAUCAUUGAAGACUGAAAUGUUUGUGUGAGAGUAAUCUCUCUCUCUCUCUCUCUCUCUCUCUCUCUCUCUCUCUCUCUCUCUCUCUCUCCAAGUUACGUUACAAAACCCCCACAAGCCAAAACAUGUUGAUCUACCUUCUAGUUCUCAUGUUCUCAUGCCAUCCUUAUCAAGCGCCCACAUCAGCCAUUCCCACUAAUACCCCUCAAAACACAAUAAAUAUUCAUUUCAACGUGAAACCAAGACAUCAAUAUAUCAGGGCUAUAUAGUAAGAAACGAAGCAAGUACUUUUGCUUGGAUCAAAACGUCUUCAACUGUAAAAUCUGUGAGUUCUACCUUUGUUGAGAUAACGACUCAAUUCCUUUGCUCGAUUAUCAGUCAUAUCGUGUCUGCAUUGUUUGUAUUGAGUAUUAGGAUUUGAAUCUCAUUGUUAAUUCAACUGUAAUACAAUCUUCUUGAUUUUAAUAAAGGAAAAGAAAAUCUCCCUAUACUAAUAAAAGAAUAUAUAUAUAUAUANUUGUUAUGUGUCACUCCAAUAUAUAUCCUGAUUUUAAUGUGGUUAAAGAAAUCAGGACAUAAUCUCUUAAAAUCAAUAUUCCGUUUUUAAAAUGCUAUAAAUAUACAACUUUCGAAAACCUAAUCAAGUUAGAAUAUUUGUUUGCAUGGUUGAUGAUUGUUAUUCUUAUAGUCUAUAUGUUGCUUUAUUAAUGUAAACCAACCGUUAUCACCUAGUUAGGAGAUAAAAGAAAGGGGGGAGAAUGGAGUUGUUUGAUGAUGGAGAACACAACUUACGUGAGAAACAUUAAAAAAAAUUGUGAUUAUAGACCAAGUAACUUUUUGUGAAAUCGGUAAAGUGAUUAAUCUUAUAUUUGUAUUUAAUUACUUUCUCUCCAAAUCCGUCCAUUUUGAGAGAAUAGUCAAGAGUUAAGAUUGUCAAAUAAUCUUUAUUUUUUGUUUUUCUUCCACUUCCUUCCAUUAAAAAAAACUCGGAAUAACUGUUCUUUUUCCAUUUUUUCCCACUUCCUUUCACUUCUCUUUUUGAAGACUUAGGAAACAAAACAUAAUAGUUGAAAUUCGAUGAUAUUAUUUUUCAUUUCUUCCAUUAAAAAACUCGGACAUACUAUUUUUUUUUCAUUUUUUUCCACUUCCUUUCACUUCUCUUGUUGAAAAAGACUUAGGAAACACAACAUAAUAGCUGAAAGUCGAUGAUAUUAUUUUUAGAUCUGAGAUUUUAACGAUGCUUUAAAACCGAUUUUAGGGCAUUGUUUUUGUACAAGAGGGUUGCAUAAAAUUGUUGUUAUCGUUGGAGAUAAAUGUUGUCAAGUGUUAUUCAAGUAUUUAACGGCCGCAACUGCACUAGAGUAGAACGCAACAAUAGUUGUUGGGCGAGUUUCGUACCAAUGUGUUGCACUUUUGAAAUAUAUUUACUAGAUUAUUACCCAAAACUUUAAUUACUUAGCUAAUUUUAGCUAAAAAAAAAUCAAAAAUAGCAACUCAAUUAGCAGGUGAUUUAGACCUCUGACCACCUAUGAAUUUCGCAAUAUCACAUACGAUCUUCAGUGGCGAGGCUAGUCACUUGACCCGCCUAUUUUUAUUUUUUUUAUUUUUAUAAUUCAUUAUAUAAAAAUAUAAAUUGUGAACUGUCUUAAAUAUUUUAAGUGAAUCAUGAGUUUCAAAGCCUAUCUUUGAUUCUUUUUCUUGGUUUCAUUCAAAUAGUGAACCAUUACGUUUUAGACUCGUCAGUGACAAUUUACUUCUAUGUAUUAUUAAAUCUGCCCAUUUUCAACUCAUAUCCUGCCGGAUAAUUUGUAGGUAUAAAAAGCACUAUUUUCAUAUUAUUUUUAUUUUGAAAUCACUGGAGAAUAUUAUUUUUUAGCCAUCAGAGGGUAUAGAGAGGAUUUCUUUAGCUUGAAAUUGUAAAAAUAAAAUUCAUUUACAAAUUUUAAGAUUUGCAUACUUUGAGUUUAUGGCUCGAAAACGGACCGAUACAUGUUUUCAAUUAUAACAUGUAAUUUAAUAAAUAUACAAGAGGUUUUAGUAUUGUUGUGGAUUUUAUUUAACUAUUAUAUAUAUUUUUAAUAAAAACAAAUUUGUAACGAUAUUGCUACAUUUAUUCAAACCUUUUUUCCAAUCAAAUGAUUUAAAUAAAUAUUAUAUUUUUCAAACAUAAUAAUAUUAUGUGUUAAAACGUAAUUAAGAAACCUAAAAGAAAAACUAUAUAAAUGUAAAUUACAAAAAUGGUUAUACAAGUUUGUUAGAAUCAUAGAUUUAAGGAGUUUUGACUUAUUUGACCAACGAACAUCAAAAUUGACCCGAUUUUACCAGUGAAUAUUUAAUCAUAUUAAAUUGGACCAUAGAGUCAGUUUUGAUAACUUUUGUUUGACCUUUUUUAAAAAAAAAAAAAAAAACUGUAAAGGGCAUGAAUAUAUUAGAGUAUAUUACAAUUUUGAUUUUUAUUAUUAUUAUUUUUAAAUCAAUAUUUUUUUUAGUCAAAACUUAACUCGGUUUAAAAUAUAUUAUAGUUUGAUUCACAUUAAUGUAAAAAUUAUAACUUAAAAUGAAUGAAAAAAUAUAAAGAAAAAACUUGGAUGAAAAUUACAAAUAUAAAUAUAUUGAGGGCUCAAAUAAGUAACAUAAGUCAAAUUACUAGAAGAAUUUUGAGUUCAUCAAAGAAGAAUAAGAGUUGAGAAAAGGUUGUCCCUGACUCAAAGAGAAGAGUCGUAUUUAUACAUGACAAUUAGAGUUGCAACUAGGGUUGUCAUCUUCGGAAUUAGUCAAGUAAUCUCGAAAUUACUAGCAUGAUCGAUGGUUUCCAAAACUGACGACAUUUGCCACUUUUACGAUAAUCACCCACUUGAAUUCAUAUUUUCCACUAUGAUCCUAACUCAAAAUUGACGGUUCUCCCCCUUGGACCCCGCUAGGGGUGCUGCCCCUAGGACCAACAAUGGGGCACGACCCCCUUGAUCCCUUCAUUUUAUCAUAUCGGCUUAUAAUUUGAUUUUAUAUAUGUGCUAUCCACACACAUCAAACAUAUAAUAGUGAGUAAAUUUAUAAGUUCAUUAUCUCACAUAUUAGUUUUAAUUACACGUAAUGUCUGGUGAUACUAAAAUCAUCAAUAUAAAUGAUAAAGGAAACAUGAAAAAUCGAUGAAUUAAAUAGAAGGGAUAAAUUAGUCAUUUCAUAGUAGUUAACUCUUAUUUUUAACGGAAUUAUCUAAAAGGACCAACCAUACAAAAUUUUGAAGCAAUAAAAACCAAUUGUUUAAUGUUUCACAAUGUUAUCUUGAAAUUGAUAUAUUCUGAAAAUGAAUAAACGAGUGAUACCAUUCAUGAUAUGGAUAAUAACUUUAUAUGGAAUGAACUCAUGUUUGUACAUAUCAAGUCACUUUUAUAUAUAUGUUGUAUAUGAUUUACCAUUAAAUUUAUAUUUGUUGUUCAACAAAAUAUCACAUUGAUUGGGCUAUUACAAGGUCUACGUCUCCUAGAACUUCAUUACACUCACAUUUGUUGUUUAAUAAAAUACCAUUAAAUUCAUAUUUUAUACAUUAUUUACCAUUAAAUUCAUUUUUGCACACAUUUAAUCAUUUUCAUGUUUUAUGUUCAUCAUCAAUUUUCCGACCCUCUUCUCCGGCCAACACAAUUCCAAAGAAAAAGGAAAAUACCAUUUUAGAUGUUCGAUUUUUAAAAACAUUGCAAAACAUACAAUCUCCUUAUUCUCAUCUUUGGUGAAAAUGGCCCACCCCUCCUUUUACUACUGCGAACAUUCCUCAUGUCGCCCCUCGCAUAUUUCUCUACUCAUCUACCUCUCCUGCUAUUUUUUUAAAACCACCCUACCCCCACAUCCAUCUCCCUCAAUUUUCUUCAUGAGAUUUGUAUUGAUUUUGUUGUAGUUUGAAGCUGAUUUUAGAAUAGUUUCUUGGUGGUGGUGGUGGAUGGUGGAGAGGAGUGGUUGUUAUGGUGAAUGACAAUAAUAGAAGGUAGUGAUUGUUGCUAGAGGUGGACGGUGUUCGCCGAUGUGGACAAUGUUGGUCAAAGAAGAUGAACGAAACAUAGUUUAUUAGUAAACCGUGUAAAAAUAUAACCUAAAAUAUAAUACCCAAUUGAAAUGAUAUUUCAUAAACAAUAAAUAUAUUUAUUAGUAAAUUAUGUAAAAGAAUAUAAAAAACUACCAAAUAUAUAAAAAAUAAUAAUAAUUUAUUACCCUACCAAAUAAAUUAUGUCUAUUUAUUAUAACCUUAUCAUACUAAAUAACGACAAAGUCAAAAUCUAGGUAAAUUCUCUACAAGGGUGAGAUGAUCAUAUUUAUGACGAUCACAGGAUAAUAGUUAUUCAUCAUGCCCUCAUAAUGAUACAUUAUUUUGAAGUUGACAAUUACAAUACUCUUUGAAUUAAAUAUGAAUAGAAUCAGGUACUCAUGGUCCCAUUGUUGUCCAGGGGGACAUCCGAUUCAGAGGAAGGGACCACCGAUAUAACCGAUUUUGAAAAUAAACGGGAUAUAAUUACAUAUUUUUACCUUACAAAUAUUCAUAAGAAAUUAAGGUAAAAAACCAGGGCCUACAAGUAUUUGUUUUUAUCUAAAUUAGAAAUUGUCUUUUCCCCAUUUUACAAUGGGGCAUAUCGAUAAUUUUCAAUUGUCAUUGUCAAAGUCAUAAACUCCAAUAGCCACUUUAUACAAUUUGUAAAUUAUCUAUUAGGCAAUGAUCAUUUUCUCAACUUUGUUAAACGUAUGGAUCGUUGUGGAAAAUAUUCGGCACAUGAACAUUUUCUGCAAAUUAUAAGGAUAUUUUUGAGAUUUAUUUUCUAUAAAUAGACCAAAGCUUCCAGCAUAUUACAUAUGAAAGUCUUGUGUCCAGAAUGUCAAAGGAAAAGAGUACACUAUUUAAACAUAUUGUAACACCCGGAUGUCCAGGUAUGAGAUUUUGUUCCUUUAUUUUUGGGUUUUGUGGGGGAACUCGGCGAGUUGGCGUCUAGACUCGCCGAGUAUGGUCGCGGAUUCGUAUGCGAGUUCACAGCUGGACUCGGCGAGUUAAUGAGUGGACUCGGCGAGUCCACGCUGUUUAAUGAAAUCCUAAUUUCCAGGUUUUAAGACCUAUUUAAAGGCCCUUAUGGCCGUCCAUUGCGGCUACCACACCCCAGAGAGAGAGUCCUAGAUCGCUUGUGAGGUAAAGAGAGGCCAUUGUUGAUCAUUUGUUGGUGAAAUUUGAAGGAGAAGGUGACCAAGGCAAAAGAAGGCUGAAGGAAGUGCAAAUCUAGUGUCUUCAGAGAUCAAAGACUUCAUAUUAAGGUAUUCCUUCGGACCUUCUCCAAUUUUGGGUGUUGAUUCAUAGAGUUAGGGUUUUUAAACCCUUUAGAAGAAGAAUAUGUAGAGUAUUUAGUCCCCUCUCGAGUUUGUGCUUUGGAUCUGGACUCAAAGAGGUCCAGAGACUUUAUCCCAUGGAGCUUUAUGAGUCAUUUUGGGAUUAUUGGACUUAGGUUGCCAUUUUUGGGACUAAAUCACCAUUGGAUGCCAUUAUGUUGAUAUGUAAGCAUCAAGUUUCGAGCUUUACGUGACUUUCGUGCUUGGGAAGGCCAGAUCUGACCCCAGGAGGUCAAUAGAGAUGGUGCAUGGCAUGAACUUGCCGAGUUGUUCUUGAGACUCGGCGAGUAGGGUUAGGGUUUCACGUGAAUAGCUCUGUGAGUAGACUUGCCGAGUUGGGGGAUAACUCAAUGAGUCAGAAAGGGAUUAGAGGAUUGGGGUUCAAGGCAGUACUCGCCGAGUUGUUCUUGAGACUCGGCGAGUUGAGUCGGGGUGGCCUCGCGAUUCAUGCCAGGUGUGACUCGUCGAGUAAAGAGAAGGACUCGACAUGCCAAGAAAGGGACUAAGAGGGUCAGUGGACACGUGUAGACUCGCCGAGUCGGGUCAAAGUUUGACAGUUGACUUUUGUUGACUUUAGGAUUUGGUAAAAAAUAAGGCCUUUGAGCCAGGAGAGGUGUAAAAUGGUCUUUUACCCUUCUGAGGAUGUUAAGAAAGGUUGGAGUAUAGUUAUAUUUAUGGGAGUAUUUGCUUUAUGUGAUUAGGCGGAGGCUAGAUCACGUUUCUACCGAGACAGAGACUUACCGAGAUAUCAGAGGUGAGUCUUCUCACUAUACUGUACCUGGAAAGGUACCUAUGUGUGACCGGAAAGUCUUGUAUGUUAUGAGAUGCAUGUUUUGCGUUGCAUGUUCUGUAUGCGUUAUGUAUGUGAUAUGUAUGUUAUGUAUGAUAUGGGCCGCAAGGCAUUAUGAUGUGGACCGGAAGGUUGAUACGAGUAGGACCGGAAGGUCUACUGGGAUUGGGACGGAAGUCCCCUGAGACACAUGGAUCGGAAGGUCGUGUUGAGUGUGGCCUGGAAAGACGUAUGUGUGUAAGGGUAUUUUGGGAAACUCACUAAGCAUUUGUGCUUACAGUUGUUGUGUUAUGUGUUUCAGGUACUAGCGAGGACCGUGGAAAAGCGUCGGCGUGACUCGUACACACUAGAGAGAGGAUUUGAUUUUUGUGAUCUUGGGAUACGAUAUGUUUUGAUAACUAUUACUGGAUAUUUUAUGAAACAUUUUAUGUGAAAAUGAUUGUGAAAAAAAUGAAAUUUUUUGUUUUGAAAUUCACGUUGUUACACAUAUGGACCAUUUUUAUAAAAGAUAUUGCAAAUGGACCUUUUUUUUUAUAAAUUAUGAGGACAAAUUUUGUAAUUUAUUUUUUUAUACCAAACAUGCCAACAUGCUAGAUUAUUGUGGCUAAAUUUU
rnacentral:lncRNA from 1 species